rnacentral:rRNA from 1 species
CUACGGGGGGCAGCAGUGGGGAAUAUUGCACAAUGGGCGCAAGCCUGAUGCAGCCAUGCCGCGUGUAUGAAGAAGGCCUUCGGGUUGUAAAGUACUUUCAGCGGGGAGGAAGGGAGUAAAGUUAAUACCUUUGCUCAUUGACGUUACCCGCAGAAGAAGCACCGGCUAACUCCGUGCCAGCAGCCGCGGUAAUACGGAGGGUGCAAGCGUUAAUCGGAAUUACUGGGCGUAAAGCGCACGCAGGCGGUUUGUUAAGUCAGAUGUGAAAUCCCCGGGCUCAACCUGGGAACUGCAUCUGAUACUGGCAAGCUUGAGCCUCGUAGAGGGGGGUAGAAUUCCAGGUGUAGCGGUGAAAUGCGUAGAGAUCUGGAGGAAUACCGGUGGCGAAGGCGGCCCCCUGGACGAAGACUGACGCUCAGGUGCGAAAGCGUGGGGAGCAAACAGGAUUAGAUACCCUCGUAGUC